GUGCAGACAGCCCACUAAUCCCCUUGGAGAAGCAGUGGUGGAACAGUGAAACAGCAACAGAAGCAGGCUAGAACACAAGUAGUGAAUCCCAGAUGCGGUCAUACAGAGCCCACCAUACCAGUGUGGGCCUGAAGCUCAGUGGUCCAGGGCCUGAGGCAUGGCAAGCCAGGACUGAAGCAAUUCAGCGCAUGCUGACCUAUGAACCCUUGUCAGCCAGACCUAAGCCUGGUACAAAUGCCUACUCCACUCAGCAACCACGCUCCAAACUUUCAAGCUGACCUUAACCACCUGGGAACCUGGAAUUGCAGAGCACUUGAGGAGGAUUAAUCCCCGACUUCAGGGUGACUUCACCAAGUAAGGAAAAGUCAGUGGAGCUGCCCCAGAAGAGGAGGAGAGCAGAACCCUGGGAGAAAUACAAUAAGCACUGAGCUACAGCCCAGCACCACAUAAGGAAAUUUUGGUCAAAGGUGAACUACAUAUAUGCCAGUGGUCCGGUAAGACUGUAUCAUCUGUUGAUAUUGUAGCCAUCUUAGUUUGCAUAAAUAUGCUCUAGGAUGUUUAUACAAUAAUGAAGUCACCUAACAUUUCUCAAAACAUACCCCUUCCAUUGAGCAAUGCAUGAUUAUAUUUAUAUGGCAUUUGUGAAUGUCAGGUAUUUUAUUUUUAAUUAAAAAAGGCAUGUCUGG